CUUCUGUGAGAGGUCAAGGCGGCUAUUUAAACUUUUAGUCUUUUAUAUUGUGACUCUUUUGGUUGCAAGAGACAGAAAUCCAACUCAAAUCAGAUUAAGCACAAAGGGAAGUUUGCUGGCUCAUUCAACUCAGAAGCAUGCUAAAAUAUCUUACAGGAAAGGUGAAAAGGACUGCAGGAAUUAGAGUCUUUGAGAUUAGAAAAAGGGGCUCACUGAUUCUCGAAUUUUCUCUCUCUCCAUCUAACUCUUAUCUCUCCAUGUUGCGUGAUAGGUGGCCUCCAGCAGACACAGAGUGUCGUCAUCUUCUCAGCUUAAAAUCCACAACAGAAAGACAACUGGCACAUGCCAUCCUUGGACCAGUCUUCAUUGUUUGGGAGAGAGGGUUCCAGUAUGGGCUAGGCUUGGGUACUGCACGUGGGGAAGUGGUUCCCUGAGGAAGGGAUGCAGGUAGACAAAAGCAACUGCUCUCUACUGCAUCUUUGAGAGUGAAUUAAUAGCUCCUCUUUCAACCUUUCAUAAAAGCCAUUUCUGUGGGAUAAGAAUGCUCCCUAAAUCAAGGAAAGAGCCUUCUUUGGAAAUCCAAGGGAAAAAUGAAAUGACAAGGGACGAAAAUCAUGAAUGUCAAAAGUGAGAGUCAAAUGGUUUUAUGCCUAGCUGUCUCUCUUUUCUAGUUAGUGAAAUUUAGGAGGAUUGAUCUGGACUUGUUUGUUCACGGACAGAUACACCUGUGCAAACAAUGACUUGGCUUGCUGUCGGCACACUCUGCUCUGCAAAGGAGGAACAACUGCCCCGGAGAGGGAGCUGUGAAGCUUACGCUCCUCUGCUGGCCUCUCCCCAAGCCCCGUGAAGAGCACAGACCUUGGAACCAGCAGCCCCGAACCCAAACUUAGGCUCCACCACUUACUGGCUCUGAGACAUGGCUUUGUGGGAAGCUCUUCAGGAACAUUUGAAUGAUUUGUGGAGCCAGUGGGAUACAAUAUGUGGAACCAUGACUGUCCUGGAAUUUCUAGGACCAAAGAUCCACUGAGCACUUACUCCAUGCUAGAUGUUGGGGAGACAACAGUGAGUGAUACAAACAUGGCUCCUGCCCAACUGGAGCUCACCUGUGGUCCAGUAAGGGAGGCAGAUAGAUAGUACACAGAGUCUUUGGAAUCUGGUGUAUAUUUUACACCUGUAGCACGUUCAGUUUGGACCAGCCUCAUUCCACGUGCUUAAUGCCCAUGCGUGACCAGUGGCUCUCGGAAGGGGCAGUGCAGCUGCAGAGCACUUAGAACAGUGCCAGGCACAUAAGGAGUACAGGGACUAGAAAAAAGGAGCUGUUUCAUGAGACUAUUCGAAAGAAUAUAACUCCCUGAGGAAGCAUCAGAAUCCACAUAGGCAGAUUUGUGUGCCACUUCAUAUGGAGCUGCCAGACCUCAUGGGGACAAGAUGUAUCAGAUAUGCUUAUCAAUAAAGGGGAAUCAGAGCUUGUGGCAACUUGAUGGAGACAGCCUGUCAACAGGGAUUGUGCCUGGGACCUUGACGCAGACUCAUGCAAGAGAGGGAAGCUGUCAGGAGGGCUCUCAUGCUGAAUCACCUCCCACCCCUGCCCGGGGGCUGCGCACUGAGAAACGUGACGCAAGACCACCUAGACCCAGGCUUUACCUUCCUGAGGUCUACGUGGACAAGAACAGGCACGUACGCGGACACAGGAGGACCGAGGCCGGGGAGGAGCCACCUGCCCAGGGUGCCGAGGGCUGAGGAUGGGCAUGGGCCAGGAGCCAUGGGUGAUGCCCCCUGGGAGCUGGUGAGCCGUGAUGGUGGUGAUGGCACUUUCCUGGUCCCCAAGUGGUUCAGUGAAAUCUACACCCGUGUCCUUGGAGACUCUCGUCAUGGACAUAAACCUGCCGCACAGAGAAGACGCUCUGCGACUUACUCAGUUCCACAAAGUGUACUGAAUGCUUGCUACUCACACUGCGCCAUUGCUGCGAUAAGAUCACGGAGACUGGAUAUUUGUAUACAAUAUUUUUUGGGUUUGAAUCCUUCAUUUCUCAAUUCCACAAACAUUGUCACACUCUCACACGAGUUCACCGGGCACUGCUGUAAAUGCCGUGGUGGUAGGGACAGGGGAGAUCAAUGUGUUCCUGAUUUCAGAAAAAUUCCAGUUUAGCUUGGGAGAUAAAAUACACAGAUGUAACAUGUUUAACAUCAACACUGAAGUUUAAUAGCGACAGGAACUGAUAACAUAACAAACAUCCUACGAUUAAGUCCCAUCCCUCCUGGCUCUCCCUGGCUUUCGGGGUUCACCCUCACAGCAAGCCAGGCUGUGCUGGAGAGACAGGGGUUUCAGACGCAAGCUGGUGUUUGAAAACAGGGGCAAGUUACUGGCUUCAGUUGCUUCACUUGUAUCUAGUGUGCAUAGAAUUAUUGGGAAGAGUACAGGUGGAAACGCAGGUCGAAGUGGUGGUAGAAAACUCUCAAUUCCUGUUCUCUUUCUUCUUCUAGUUUCUAGACGAACUAAGUACAGCCUGUGCUAAAGCAAGUUCCCAAUGAUCCAGGUGCCUGCCACGCCUUCCCCAGGGUUACAGGUGACACCAGCACCAGCCCCGACACAGUCAGCCGAAGACAGCACUGGUUGGGGGUGAGAGAAAGAGUGGCCGGAUUCUUCAGUCUGUAGAGGGUGGUGUUGGCGACAAGAAGAUUUCCUCUCUUCUCUGUGGAAGAAGGAAGAGGGGGCCUUCGCCCACCCCUAAGCCUAAUUGGAGGGCAGGGGGCUUUGAGAAACUCUUGUUUAGAUUGGGGGUGUCUGCACCACAGGUAGGAAGGCAUCUCGCUGCCCAGCUUAGCUGUCAUUGCCUGCCCUGGAGCUACUACUGGGGCAGAAUGGGGUGUUUGGAGGAGUCCUCAGGGGAACCUGAAGGUGAGGGAUGUAUUCAAACGUGGAAAUUAGUGCCACUCUCUUCACGAAGUAGGAAGAGUUGCGAGUAAACCUGGGAGGGAAAGGAUGAAUGCAAGCCCACUCGCAUUCCCAGGGGCCUCUAGAGGGUUUGGAGGAGAUGAAACAGGACCACGCUAUUGCCCACGGCCCCCAGGAAGGGGCGGGAAGUAGAGGAGGGGCCCCGGUGGCUUCUGGGGCCAGCCAGGCAGUGCCUUUACUCAGAGAACUGGCUGAAGGCGCGGAUUCCUGGUUGGGCCAGGUCAUGACUGCCUCUUUGAGAUAGUCCUGGGGACAGAGGAGCUGGAGUGAAACUGAGCAGCACCCCAAAAAAUCUACUUCCAUCGUCUAUAAGGAAACCACCGUAUAAAAUCAAACCAAAUCAGAAUGAGGUCUGAGAGCCGCCCUACAGUGGUACCACUCUCCCACCAGAGAGGACAGCUUUGAGGGAGAGGAGGCUGGAAAUGUUUCAGAAUGACACCAGGCCAGCACCCUGACGCUCUCCCCCUGUCAGCGCUGGAAGAAAGGGCAAGAAGUGGGAUUUAAAGCACCUUUCAGAUAAGCCCGAAACUGAGCUGGGCUUUUAUAAUCAAAAAGGAUUGCAAGUUAUAAAAAUCUGCCCAGGACGUCACUGGCAGAAGAAAAAGGAAGGUGAUUUGACAUAGCACAGCUGGAGUAAUGAUGGGAAGAAAUGAAAUGGAUUCAUGUUUAUCCCACUACUAAGAGUCCUUAACAAACUCCAGGCCCACGCAGGGACACACACGAGCAGAGAUGCUCGUCCCCAGGACGAGUUAGACAGGAAGCUCGUCUUCAGGGACGUGCUGGUGGCCUCCCUCCCCUCACCCCCUUUCCACGUCUGCUCAGAAUAUGACUCCCCACACCUCAAGCAGGAGGAACAGGAACCUCCAGCUUAGCAGGAUGAGGGCUUAGAUCAAAUUAGAUUGAGUUAAAAAGGGCUGCCUGAGUAGUGUCUGGAGCCAGAAUCCUGUGUCCUCUUGGUUAAUUUUUUCAACCUCAGCUUUUCCACCUAUAAAACGAGGAUGAAUAAAAAAACCUGCCUUUGAAGGUUGUUUGGGGUUCUUUUGAAAAGAAAAUGAGUUUAUGAUUGUAAGGCACUUAAAACAGUGUCCUGCAUGUAGUAAGCAUUAAAUAUAUGGCUAUAUAUUUGGGGGAUGUUUCUUGCCUGUGCAAAUUUAUGAAGUAAAAAUUAUGCCUCCAACUUCCAGUUUCCUGCUUGGCAUGGAGGAGCUUAGAAGUUACCACUCCAUCCUAACAAGUAAAAAACUAAACAAACUGGAAAUUAACAACUCUUCUUAGGGCUGUCAGAGAAGUGAGGUCACAGGGCAAGCCACAGUCCCCAAAAUUGGAGAGAUAGGCAGAUGCGGAGAAUCACAACUUACCAGAGCAGGAACCCACAAACAGAAACUUCUGCAGGAAAUUAAAUAACAUGAAUUUAGUAAGCAGCACAGGUUCAUUUUGAACCCAGACUGUCUCUCCGCAUAGCAUGCCUUUUUCACGCAAUGAACAUUUAUUAUGUGCAUAAGUGCCAAGCUCUGAUACAAAACAGGUUAAGAUGGUUAUGCUCUUACCUUACCUGUGUGGUUGGUGACCUUGAUGUCUAUCUGGGGAGAUCCCAGAGACGCUCUGUUUAGGAAGACAAUGGAGAUACUGGCCAUGUGCCCCCACUACUCUUACAGGUGAAAUCUGUCUGAUUCCCAGGGCUGCAAGUACCCAAGCUGAUGUCCUUGUACCAGAGGCUUCCUCCUUCCAUUUGUGUCACCCAACCUAAAAGGCAUGGCUAUAAUGGAGAACAUGAGCAUCUGCCCUGAAGGAGCUGAGAUAACCUUGAAGGGAAUAAAUGAUCGUGCAUAUUGAUGGACCGAUUUGAGUACUUAUUGAUUCCUGGUAGCUUGGAUUCUUAGCUCAUAUAAUAGGUGG